rnacentral:rRNA from 1 species
UCAAGCUACAAAGAGCAUAGGGAGGAUGCCUUGGCACCAAGCGCCGAAGAAGGACGUGGCAGGCUGCGAAAAGCUACGGUGAGCUGCGAGCAAGCGUUGACCCGUAGAUGUCCGAAUGAGGGAACUCACAUAUGGUAAUGCGUAUGUAUCAUUACAUGAAUAAAUAGUGUAAUGAGGGGAACCCGGUGAACUGAAACAUCUUAGUAACCGGAGGAAAAGAAAGUAAACACGAUUUUCAGAGUAGCGGCGAGCGAAAUGGAAGGAGCCCAAACCGCGGGUUUUCGGAUCUGCGGGGUAAAGGACAGAGGUAAAGAGAAAGCUUUAUAUAGGAACACGGUUGGAAAGCCGGGCCGGAGAGGGUAAAAGCCCCGUAGUUUAAAUGAAGCUGAUCUGAUCUGUAUCCGGAGUAGUGCGGGACACGAGGAAUCCUGCAUGAAGUCGGGGGGACCACCCUCCAAGGCUAAAUACGACUUGGUGACCGAUAGCGAACAGUACCGUGAGGGAAAGGUGAAAAGAACCCCGGGAGGGGAGUGAAAGAGUACCUGAAACCCUAUGUUUACAAGCACAGGAAGAGCGUUAAGGGCUCGACCUGGUACUUUUUGUAGAACGGACCGGCGAGUUACGUUAUGCUGCGAGGUUAAGGUGUAGAGCACCGGAGCCGGAGCGAAAGCGAGUCUGAAGAGGGCGAGAGUAACAUGACGUAGACCCGAAACCGUGUGACCUAUCCAUGGACAGGUUGAAGUGGAAGUAAAAUUUCAUGGAGGACCGAACCACACUGCCGUUGAAAAGGUAGGGGAUGAGCUGUGGAUAGCGGGGAAAUUCCAAUCGAACACGGAUAUAGCUGGUUCUCCUCGAAAUAGCUUUAGGGCUAGCCUCGGGGUAAAGAGUUGCGGAGGUAGAGCACUGAAUGGGCUAGGGGGCCACAAAGCUUACUGAACCUUAUCAAACUUCGAAUGCCGCUAACUUAUACCCGGGAGUCAGACUGUGUGAGAUAAGUCUCACGGUCAAAAGGGAAACAGCCCAGAUCAUCAGCUAAGGUCCCAAAGUGCAGGUUAAGUGGAGAAGGAUGUGUCAGUGCACAGACAACCAGGAUGUUGGCUUAGAAGCAGCCACACAUUUAAAGAGUGCGUAAUAGCUCACUGGUCGAGUGCUGAUGCGCCGAAGAUUAACGGGGCUAAAACCUGCCACCGAAGCUAUGGAUUUGCCGCAAGGCAAGUGGUAGAGGAGCAAUGUGUACAGGCAGAAGCCGUACCGUCAGGAGCGGUGGACAGUACACAAGAGAGAAUGCCGGUAUGAGUAGCGAGAGUGAGGUGAGAAUCCUCACCGUCGAAAGCCAAAGGUUUCCUGAGGAAGGUUCGUCCUCUCAGGGUAAGUCGGGGACUAAGCCGAGGGCGGUAGAGCCGUAGGCGAUGACCAGCAGGUAGAGAUUCCUGCACCACCAGUGUAUCGUUUGAGGAAGCAGUGACACAGAAGGAUAGUCAGAGCGCGUUGAUGGUAGAGCGCGUCCAAGCAGUGAGGCUGAUACGCAGUAAAGUACACGUAUCGAAAGGCUGGGCUGUGACGGGGAGUUAAGUGAUAUGAAGCUGAUGAAUUCACGCUGGCGAGAAAAGCUGCUAACGAGAUAUACGGUGCCCGUACCGCAAACCGACACAGGUAGGCGAGGAGAGAAUCCUAAGACGAGCGAGAGAACCAUUGUUAAGGAACUCGGCAAAAUUACCUCGUAACUUCGGGAGAAGGGGUGCCUAUAGAGAUAUAGGUCGCAGAGAAUAGGCCCAAGCGACUGUUUAACAAAAACACAGGUCUGUGCUAAAUCGAGAGAUGAAGUAUACGGGCUGACGCCUGCCCGGUGCUGGAAGGUUAAGGGAAUGAGUCAGGAGCAAUCCGAAGCUUUGAACUGAAGCCCCAGUAAACGGCGGCCGUAACUAUAACGGUCCUAAGGUAGCGAAAUUCCUUGUCGGGUAAGUUCCGACCUGCACGAAUGGCGUAACGAUUUGGGCGCUGUCUCAACAGUGGACUCGGCGAAAUUGUAGUAUGCGUGAAGAUGCGCAUUACCCGCGACUGGACGGAAAGACCCCGUAGAGCUUUACUGUAGCCUGAUAUUGGAUUUUGGUAAUGAAUGUACAGGAUAGGUGGGAGACUGAGAGACAAGGACGUCAGUUUUUGUGGAGUCGACGUUGGGAUACCACUCUUUCAUUACUGAAAUUCUAACCUGUAGCCGUAAACCGGUAUGGGGACAGUGUCAGGUGGGCAGUUUGACUGGGGCGGUCGCCUCCGAAAGAGUAACGGAGGCGCCCAAAGGUUCCCUCAGAAUGGUUGGGAAUCAUUCAAAGAGUGUAAAGGCAAAAGGGAGCUUGACUGCGAGACUGACAGGUCGAGCAGGUACGAAAGUAGGGCUUAGUGAUCCGGUGGUAGAGAGUGGAAUUGCCAUCGCUUAACGGAUAAAAGUUACCUCGGGGAUAACAGGCUGAUCUCCCCCAAGAGUUCACAUCGACGGGGAGGUUUGGCACCUCGAUGUCGGCUCGUCGCAUCCUGGGGCUGGAGCAGGUCCCAAGGGUUUGGCUGUCCGCCAAUUAAAGCGGCACGCGAGCUGGGUUCAGAACGUCGUGAGACAGUUCGGUCCCUAUCCAUCGUGGGCGCAGGAUAUUUGAGAGGAGCUGUUCUUAGUACGAGAGGACCGGAAUGGACGUACCUCUGGUGCAUCAGUUGUCAUGCCAAUGGCACAGCUGGGUAGCGAAGUACGGAUCGGAUAAACGCUGAAGGCAUCUAAGCGUGAAACCGACCUCAAGAAGAGAUAUCCCAUUGCGAAAGCAAGUAAGUCCCCUGGUAGACUACCAGGUAGAUAGGUCGGAGGUGUAAGUGCAGUAAUGCAUUGAGCUGACCGAUACUAAUAGGACGAGGGCUUGAUCAA